AUUUGAAAUCUGGCUUCGGCCCGAGUUGUAAUUUGCAGAGGAAGCUUUAGGCGCGGCACCAACUGAGUCCCCUGGAACGGGGCGCCAUAGAGGGUGAGAGCCCCGUAUAGUUGGACGCUAAGCCUGUGUAAAGCUCCUUCGACGAGUCGAGUAGUUUGGGAAUGCUGCUCAAAAUGGGAGGUAAAUUUCUUCUAAAGCUAAAUACCGGCCAUAGACCGAUAGCGCACAAGUAGAGUGAUCGAAGGAUGAAAAGCACUUUGAAAAGAGGGUUAAAUACCACGUGAAAUUGUUGAAAGGGAAGCGCUUGUGACCACACUUGCGCCUGGCUGAUCAUCCGGUGUUCUCACCGGUGCACUCUGCCAGGCUCAGGCCACCAUCGGUUCUCGCGGGGGGAUAAAGGCCCUGGGAACGUACCUCCUCCGGGAGUGUUAUAGCCCAGGGUGCAAUGCCCUCNUGGAGACCGAGGUUCGCGCAUCUGCAAGGAUGCUGGCGUAAUGGUCAUCA
rnacentral:rRNA from 1 species